GAUCCGUGGCCUAGUGGUUAAAGUGUCCGCCUCGGAUGCAGGAGGUCAUGGGUUCAAACCCCAGCUGAGUCA